rnacentral:misc_RNA from 1 species
AACUUUCGACAAUGGAUCUCUUGGCUCUUGCAACGAUGAAGAACGCAGCAAAAUGCGAAACGUAUUGUGACAUGCAAUCUUUGUGAAUCAACGAAUUUUUGAACGCACCUUGCACCGACAGGCGUCCGUCUGUCGGUAUACUUGAUUGAGCAUCGACCCCCGUCUGUCACACACACACACGUGUAUGUGUGGGACAGGAGCUGGUCUUUUCGCAGAGAGCGGCGAAUGGGCUGAAAUGGAGCGAGCGCACCGAGCGGGACCGAGCAGGCACCGAGCGGGCACCGAACGCGCACAUGGGAUAAAAAGACAUGGGCGGGCACGGUGGGCAAGAAGAAAAGAGGGCGACCUCUUAGCAGAAACACCGAUCUCAAUCAAGUAGGAAUACCCGCUGAACUUAAGCAUAUCAAUAAGCGGAGGCU